rnacentral:rRNA from 1 species
GACAGAGGGGGCAAGCGUUGCUCGGAAUUACUGGGCGUAAAGGGCGCGUAGGCGGGAUGGCAAGUCGGUCGUGAAAUCCCUCGGCUCAACUGAGGAGCGUCGAUCGAAACUGCCGUUCUUGAGGGUUGCAGAGGAGACUGGAAUUCCCGGUGUAGCGGUGAAAUUCGUAGAUAUCGGGAGGAACACCAGUGGCGAAAGCGGCUCUCUGGGCAAUGACCGACGCUGAGGCGCGAAGGCGUGGGAAGCAAACAGG